UUAGUCUAUGUAAUAGUUAUGACCACGUAAAAGAGUUUAACUAAUUUUCUCGCCCUGACAAAUGGUCAAUACCACAUUUUUAUGAUUUCAAACUUGUCUUUGAACCUUUUUAACGCAAAAGUGAGAAAAUACAUAUAUUUAUAUGCAUAUAUAGACUGAUUUUACUCGUAUGUGCAUAUUCUCUCGAAAACAAUUCUGAUAAACUUUUGAAAAACUCACUCAAAAGAAUAUGUGUAAAUUUGUUUCUCACUCAAGCUCAAACAGUUGUCACAGCUACAAAUUCAAUAAUAUGAAAAUGUUUGUGUGCGUGCAAAUAUGUGUGCAGAACAGCGUCCGCUAGAAACAGUUAGCUUUUGCGCACUUUUCCCACCGACGGCUGUGCGCCAUUGUAGAACGACAGAUUUCGUCGCAAUUUUGUCCAGUACGCAGAGUAAAGCGGAGCAGACCACGGCAACGACGAGGCUAACUGUGACUGAUUAAACAAAUACGAUUAAAACUAAAAUUUAAUAAAAAGUGCCAGUAUUUCAAUUAUAUUCAUUAAUUUUUUGUGUAGUAUUCGGCCAAUCUAAAAGUGUAAGUGUAUAUUUUAAUCUCAAUGAAUGCAUUUGUAAACCCAUACGUUUGUACAUAUGUAUGCACCUGAACGCACGAUGCAAAAAAUACCGAAAAGUACACGAGCAUCUCAGACGAGUCAUGGAAUCUCGGCUCUUUUGAUAAAUGGCGCCAGCACCAAGUUUUUCAGGCCGAAAUUAUUGGCAUAACAUAAUGCGCCAGGUGCGCUUCUGCUCUUACCAGCAAGCCCAUAAAACUUCUAGUGGACAGCCAAGUGGCCUUUGAAGCUAUCCGUCGCGCCUACACUAAGUCUCAAAAUCCUCUGGGUACCCAGUCAUAUAGGAACACAAGUAAACGAAAAGGUAAGCGCGGUAGGCCC